rnacentral:rRNA from 1 species
GAUGAACGCUGGCGGCGUGCCUAAUACAUGCAAGUCGAACGAGGCCCUUUGUAUUCGUACGAAGGUGUCCUAGUGGCGAACGGGUGAGUAACACGUAGGUGACCUGCCCCGAAGCGGGGGACAACUCCGGGAAACUGGAGCUAAUACCCCAUGUUCUCCAUGGUGUUAGAGGACCAUGGAGCAAAGGAGCAAUCCACUUUGGGAGGGGCCUGCGGCCCAUCAGCUAGUUGGUAGGGUAAUGGCCUACCAAGGCUAUGACGGGUAGGGGACCUGAGAGGGUGGUCCCCCACACUGGAACUGAAACACGGACCAGACACCUACGGGUGGCAGCAGUAGGGAAUAUUGCACAAUGGGCGAAAGCCUGAUGCAGCAACGCCGCGUGCGCGAUGAAGGCCUUCGGGUUGUAAAGCGCUUUUCUGGGGGAAGAGGAGGGACGGUACCCCAGGAAUAAGUCUCGGCUAACUACGUGCCAGCAGCCGCGGUAAAACGUAGGAGGCGAGCGUUAUCCGGAUUUACUGGGCGUAAAGCGCGUGUAGGCGGUUAGGUAAGUCGGACGUGAAAGCUCCCGGCUCAACUGGGAGAGGCCGUUCGAAACUACCUGACUUGAGGGCAGUAGAGGGAGGUGGAAUUCCGGGUGUAGCGGUGAAAUGCGUAGAUAUCCGGAGGAACACCAGUGGCGAAGGCGGCCUCCUGGGCUGACCCUGACGCUCAGACGCGAAAGCUAGGGUAGCAAACGGGAUUAGACACCCCGGUAGUCCUAGCUGUAAACGAUGCAGACUUGGUGUUGGCAGUUUAAACACUGUCAGUGCCGUAGCUAACGCGAUAAGUCUGCCGCCUGGGGACUACGACCGCAAGGUUAAAACUCAAAGGAAUUGACGG